AGGGCAUACGGUGGAUGACUUGGCAGAGAAGAGCUGAUGAAAGACGUGGUAGCCUGCGAAAAGCUUCGGGGAGGUGGCAAACAACCUGUGAUCCGGAAAUGUCUGAAUGGGGAAACCCGAUUGCGUAAACCGCAAUCACCCACGCCUGAAUACAUAGGGUGUGAGGAAGGCACCUAGGGAAGUGAAACAUCUCAGUACCUAGAGGAAAAGAGACAAACAUACUCGGACUUUUUGUCACUCAUGAUCAGCAAUGGUCGUGGCGUGACAAAAAGUCCGAAGGAUUCCCUGAGUAGUGGCGAGCGAAACGGGACAAGCCUAAACCUAUAAUAACUAAAUUUUGAACUGAGUUUACGCAAGUAAGCCGCAGACAGGAUAGCGAGCUUGGGCUGUCGUUAUAUAGGUGUUGUUGGGACUUACUACGAUUUCCCCCAAGGGAAUCACGUUUAAGACGAGAUAUAUAGUCGAACGAAUUGGAAAAUUCGGCCAAAGACGGUGAUAGCCCGGUAGAUGAAAUAUAUAGCGCUAGGCGAGUGAAGAUCCAAAGUACUACGAGGCCCGAGAAACCUCGUAGGAAGCAGCCACGACGAUGUGGCAAGGCUAAAUACUCUUCCUGACCGAUAGUGAACCAGUACAGUGAUGGAACGUUGAAAAGCAGCCCGGGAGGGCGAUGAAAUAGUAUCUGAAACCGUAUGCUUACAAGGAGGUGGAGCGGGCGCAAGUCCGUCACACCGUUCCUAUUGAAGAAUGAGCCAACGAGUGUGCUGUGUGUCGCUUGAUUAAGUCCCUGCGGGGAUGAAGUCACAGUGAAAGCGAGCCUGAAUAGGGCGUUGGUGGCACAUACACAACCCGAAACCCGGCGAUCUAUCCAUGACCAGGUUGAAGUCCCGAGAAAUCGGGAUGGAGGACCGAACUCACGAGCCGUGCAACACUCGGAGAUGAGUUGUGGAUAGCGGUGAAAUUCCAAUCGAGCUGGGUAAUAGCUGGUUCUCCUUGAAAUAGGUUUUGGCCUAGCGGUGGUUAAUAGCAAAGUGGGGGUAGAGCACUGAAUGAGGUCCGGGGCGCAAGCUUACGUACUUCAACCAAACUCCGAAUACCACUUUGUGUUCCCACCAGUCAGUCCAUGGGGGCUAAGCUCCAUCGGACAAGAGGGAAACAGCCCUGAUCGUAAUCUAAGGUCCCUAAAUUAAUGCUAAGUGUGAAAGGUGGUCGGACGGCUUAUACAACCAGGAGGUUGGCUUAGAAGCAGCCAUCCUUUAAAGAAAGCGUAACAGCUCACUGGUCAAGCUGUCCGGCGCCGAAAACUUAUCGGGGCUAAGCAUUAUACCGAAGAUACGAACUGUAAUUGUCCUCGGACUUUUACUUUGGUAAAGGAGCAUUCUGUUCAGCACUGAAGCGAAAGGCGCGAGCCAUCGUGGAGCGUACAGAAGUGAGAAUGUUGGCAUAAGUAGCAUAAAUGGAGGUGAGAAUCCUCCACAUCGUAAACCCAAGGUUUCCAGGGCAACGCGAAUCGCCCCUGGGUUAGUCGGUCCUAAGGUGAGGCCGAAAGGCGUAAUCGAUGGACAGCAGGUUAAUAUUCCUGCACUUCUAUAGAUUUCCAAUGGAGAGACGCAUCCUUCAACUACUCGAGAUUCUCGGAAUGAAUCUUUGGGGGUCAAGGGGUGCCUGAUAGGCAAAUCCGUCAGGCAUUAGCCUCGUGAUCAUCGCAAGCUUAUCGAAAGAUAAGCAAGGGGUGGGACUGGGGUGCCAAGAAAAUCUUCUAGGGCUAAGUCUAUAGAAACCGUACCGCAAACCGACACAGGUGGGUGGGCAUGAGUGUGCUCAGAUGAACGAGAGAACCCGCGUUUAGGAACUCGGCAAUACAGCGACCGUAACUUAGGGAUAAGGUCUCCCCACCGCAAGGUGGGGCGCAGCUAAAGACGCAAACCGACUGUUUACCAAAAACACAGCUCCCUGCGAAAUCGCAAGAUGAAGUAUAGGAAGUGAUGCCUGGCCAGUGUCAGAACGUUAAAGGGAGAGGUCAUGAUCGCAAGAUCGGCAGCCUUGAGCUGAAGCGCUGAUGAACGCCGGCGAUAACUAUAAUCGUCCUAAGGUAGCGAAAUUCCUUGACGGGUGAGUUCCGUCCCGCACGAAUGGCAUAACGAGUUUGCGACUGUCUCAACGUGGGACUCGGCGAAAUUGCAAGUGGGGUGAAGAUGCCCUGUAUGCGCAGUCAGACGAAAAGACCCCGUGAAGCUUUACUACAAUUUGAUAUUGGGUAAUGGCUUGGCAUGUUCAGUGUAGGUGGGAGCGUAAGCACCAAUGAGACACCACCCUUGCCUCGACAUUAUUCUCAUCACGAACCAUGAAUCUGGUUUGUGAAACAGUA
rnacentral:rRNA from 1 species